rnacentral:rRNA from 1 species
AUUGAACGCUGGCGGCAGGCUUAACACAUGCAAGUCGAGCGGGGGAAGGUAGCUUGCUACUGGACCUAGCGGCGGACGGGUGAGUAAUGCUUAGGAAUCUGCCUAUUAGUGGGGGACAACAUCUCGAAAGGGAUGCUAAUACCGCAUACGUCCUACGGGAGAAAGCAGGGGAUCUUCGGACCUUGCGCUAAUAGAUGAGCCUAAGUCGAGAUUAGCUAGUUGGUGGGGUGAAGGCCUACCAAGGCGACGAUCUGUAGCGGGUCUGAGAGGAUGAUCCGACACACUGGGACUGAGACACGGACCAGACUCCUACGGGAGGCAGCAGUGGGGAAUAUUGGACAAUGGGGGGAACCCUGAUCUAGCCAUGCCGCGUGUGUGAAGAAGGCCUUAUGGUUGUAAAGCACUUUAAGCGAGGAGGAGGCUACUUUAGUUAAUACCUAGAGAUAGUGGACGUUACUCGCAGAAUAAGCACCGGCUAACUCUGUGCCAGCCGCCGCCGUAA